rnacentral:lncRNA from 10 species
AAGUGAACCACAAUAAAGCAAAGCCGACGGAGACAAGAGGGCAAGGAAUUGAGCCUGCUGGAAAAACUUGUUCAAUUUCAUCCACUGAUCCAGUGGGCAGAGUCCGGGGCACUUUUGGUAAAGAGGCUGGGACUCUAUUCCCUGGGGUGAUGGAAGACUGGCUCUUGAGCUGCAUCCUUGGUAGCUUUUCCUUCUUCAUCUCAUUGCCAGUGAGGACACUGAGGAGGAGAAGGAGGUGAGGAGGAGGAAAAAGAUGAGGAAAAGGAGAAAACCAACCACGAUCCACUGUCACCAAAUGAGCAUGCCAGGUUGCCAUGCUGCACAGCUCCAAGAAGCACCACUGUCCAUGUGGUCAACAUGGAUGGAUCCCUGAGGAGGUGUCCAGCAGCAGCCUGCAUGCCAUGCGUGGCUCUGAAGUCAAUAAUCCUGGAAAAAGGGUCAUUCCUUCCCAAUAAACGACAGUGGGCUAUCUCCCGCAGACACCCACGAAAUUUCCCUCCUUUUCCUUCCAUGGAGGACUGGUGAAAACGUCAUCAUGGACCUGACCUGCAUCUGGAGACCAUCCCUCAGAGGUGCUGCAGAGCUCCUUUCUGCCCAGGCAUUUACGGUGGGUGAGAACUUGGAGAGGCGAGCUCACGAGGGAGUUGGGGUUUUGACUUGGCCAUGACUACUCAGCUCAGGAUGAAAGCUGAUACUUUCUGAGUGCAUUCUUUGAUUAACCCUUCAAUCCUCACAAUCACCCCAUGUCACCAGGAGGAAACUGAGGCAAAGUCCACACAACUGGCAAAUCUGGUAUGACUCUCUUUCUGUCACAGCAGUUUGCUGGCAACAGACCUACAGCCAGAUGCUCAGGUGUAUCCCAGGCACGUAGUAGGAU